UUCUUUAUAAAUAAACUGCUGAUUCUAGCUUCGACGGCCGAACUAUUUUCACUGUAUUCUCAAGUCACACGACUCUUAGGAAGAUGCUGAAAUACGUUUUCGUUAUUCUCACUAUUUUGUGCUGGUUGAGUCUUGUACUCAGCGCGCCUGCUCCUGAAGCUAAACCUGAUGGAGCAAGCGCUUGUGAGCCGUCUAUCAAAUGUGCUUAUCUCAAAUUUUCUGAUCCACCAGGACAACCAUAAAGUGAUAGAAACUGGAGAUGUUUUUGGAACUAAAUGAAUGGAUCAGCAAGUAACCGCAAAAAUUAGAAAUGUGAUCGAAGUAAUAGGGAUAAUAAAAGUAAAGAAAGAGAUCUAUUAAAGAGUAUUUUAAAACAGCCUUUAUCAGUUUUGAUUUUUUCUCAAGAAAAUAUUUUAUACAUUGCUGGAAAAUUUUGGAAAAUAUUUUAUAAAUUAUCUGACAUUCUUAAAAAAAGUAUGAAGUGAUUAAUAUUUCUAGCUAUUAUGCGGAGUGUCAAAUAUCAAACCGAUCAAAUGUGAAAUAAUAAUAUAUAUUUAAUAUUUUAUUUUGGUUAAUAUUUUAUUUUGGUUUUUUUUAAUAAGAAAGAGAUAAAUUUUGUUUUUAAGAUUUUUCAUUUUCCUUUGCAGAUUUUGAGUUAAAAUUUUCCAAUGGUGUGUUUCAUUAUUUUUUUCUUGUAUAUCUGUAGAAUUCACAUAUGCACAAAUAAAAGCUUUCAAUAACCUU